AGGGUUUUAGCUCAGAGUAGAGCAUUUGCCUAGCAUGGGCAAAAUCCUGGGUUAGAUCCCCAGCAGCUCAA
rnacentral:tRNA from 1 species